rnacentral:rRNA from 1 species
UACGUAGGGUGCGAGCGUUAAUCGGAAUUACUGGGCGUAAAGCGUGCGCAGGCGGUUCGUUGUGUCGGUGGUGAAAUCCCCGGGCUUAACUUGGGAACUGCCGUGGAUACUAUCAAUCUUGAAUAUCGUGGAGGUAAGCGGAAUAUGUCAUGUAGCGGUGAAAUGCUUAGAUAUGACAUAGAACACCAAUUGCGUAGGCAGCUUACUACACGAUCAUUGACGCUGAGGCACGAAAGCGUGGGGAGCAAACAGG